AUUCAGAAUAGAAUUUUCCAGCCCCUCAUUUUCCACUUAGUCUAUUCUUUUGUUCUCGUCUUAAAGAGAGCUAUAAUACUUUUGUUUUGCAUCCGUUCAAGUUCUUCAUGGCUCUUUCUGUUACUGGUUUCAUGCACAUACCACUGCUGACGAAGUCCAACUCUAGCGCACAAAAACCUAUGAAGUUUACCAUAGCACACGCUUGCGACAAUAAUAAUUCAAAGGAAGCAGAAGGGAGAAGGAGAGUUCUAGAAACCAAAAGAAGACAUGAUGGAGGUAAAGAAAGUAGUGAGUUUCAAACAAAUAGUGUAAGAUUAUUCAAAAUCACAACAGAAAGAAGAGGAAUUGUUCCACAAACAAGCAAAAACCAAGAGGGAGGGAGAUGCUAUGAUUCACAAACAAACAGUGUAAGGUUAUUCAAAAGCACAAUAACUGAAAAGAAAGGAAAGAUUCUUCUUGUACAAACGAAAAGAAAACACGACGAGGGAACAAAUUAACGUAGGGCAACUCAAAACCACUAAACAUUUAUUUUUGUACCUGCAUUUAUUUUUUUAUUUUUCUAGAUCAAUAGUUGCCCCUAGACUUUAGAAGCAAAUCAUUUUGGUUUAUUCACGUCUCUUAAAAUCUUGGUUAAAAUCUUGGUUAUGUG